AUUAGCGAAAGAUACUCACAGAGCGGAGACGUGGGAUCACUAGACAGACACGCGAGGCACACAGGGAGGGGAGCCAUCUGGAAGUUCCCAUCUGGAAAAAACGUGAAUGGACGUCGCACACGGAGACCGUGUGCGAGUUCUUGACAGAAGGCCUCGGGCACGGGGCCAAAGCAUGUGUUUAGACAGGGAUUUCAGGAUUCCAUCUUGCACCCUUCUCCGUGCACCUCUGGGAAAGACUUUGCUGCUUUCAUCGGAAAGCAGAUAGAUACCUGUGGUCGAGGACUCCACGGAGGCCGGAUCAGAGCAGGCCAAC